AUUGAACGCUGGCGGCAGGCCUAACACAUGCAAGUCGAACGGUAACAGGAAGAAGCUUGCUUCUCUGCUGACGAGUGGCGGACGGGUGAGUAAUGUCUGGGAAACUGCCUGAUGGAGGGGGAUAACUACUGGAAACGGUAGCUAAUACCGCAUAACGUCGCAAGACCAAAAAGGGGGACCUUCGGGCCUCUUGCCAUCGGAUGUGCCCAGAUGGGAUUAGCUAGUAGGUGGGGUAACGGCUCACCUAGGCGACGAUCCCUAGCUGGUCUGAGAGGAUGACCAGCCACACUGGAACUGAGACACGGUCCAGACUCCUACGGGAGGCAGCAGUGGGGAAUAUUGCACAAUGGGCGCAAGCCUGAUGCAGCCAUGCCGCGUGUAUGAAGAAGGCCUUCGGGUUGUAAAGUACUUUCAGCGGGGAGGAAGGGAGUAAAGUUAAUACCUUUGCUCAUUGACGUUACCCGCAGAAGAAGCACCGGCUAACUCCGUG
rnacentral:rRNA from 1 species